GACAGGAGAUAACACAGGACACAGAAAGGGGAGGAGCACAAGCCAUCGAGGUCUUGGAGGCACACUGAAAAAGAACAUGAAGGAGAGCAAAAACAUGGCUCCAGAGGUGGCUCUUCCCUGUCCAAGAGGCAGCAGUCGUCUUGGACCAGUUCCCACUCAUCAAAUCGGUGGAAGGCACCAUCUUCUAUUGGUCCUCACUGUGGGCAUCGGCUGGCACAGACUUAGUCACAUAACUUCGAUUACUCUGUGCCUCAGUUUACUCCUCCAUUAAUGUAAGUUCUACACUGACUUUCCACAGUGCUUUUAUUCUUGGCAUCUCAGAGCUCUUUUCUUAGCUAUGCUCAGAUAGUUAAACCAUUACUAAAUCAGAUGCUUUUCAUUUUUCCCUUCUCAAAGAGAAGGUCAUAGUAAUUCCUUUGCUCAUUAAAGUGUAAAU